rnacentral:lncRNA from 1 species
AACUUGAAUUUCGACCGCAAAUGCUAAUUACAACUAUCCGCAAAUACCUACAACAAAAUAUCAACACAUAACAUAUCACAAUCCGCAUAACAUAUCAACACAUAACAACACAAACAUAUAUAUCACAAACAUAUCACAAACACAUAACAUAUCACAAUCCGCAAUUAAAAUUCCAGCAACUACAAUCCACAAUUCCAGCAACACAUAACAUAUCACAAUCCGCAAUUAAAAUUCCAGCAACUACAAAAAUUCCAGCAACAACACACAAAUUCCAGCAACACACAAAAAUUCCAGCAAUAUCACAAUCCCCUAAAUAAACCCCUAAAUUCCAGCAAUAUCAAAAAUUCCAGCAACACACAAAACCCCUAAAUAAACUCAAAACCCCUAAAUAACUACAUAAAAACAGUAACUUAAAAUCCCUAAAUACUUAAAUAGAAACAAAAUCAAACUUAUGUUUGCAAAAUAUUAACCUUGUAGAGGCAAUAAAAAUUAAUGUAGAUAUAAACACUAAAUUAAAAACACUAGAUAUAUAUCAUAAACUAUAUCAUAAACACUAAAUUAAAAACACAACAAAACACAUAACAUAUAUCAUAAACUAUAUACCGCAACAUAAAAUGAACUUAAUUAAAUUGUACAUAUUACAAACCUUCAAAACAAACACCAAUUCAACACCAAUGCAGGGAGAUGUCCGGAGAAAACAGUUCGGCGCGGCGGGGAUCGGAGAUCGGAGACAAAAAUUCAACACCGAUUCAACCUAAAAAAGUACAUAAAUAGUAACAUAAAUUAGUAACCUAAAAUUAAACAUUACACAAGCAUAACUAAAAAUUUAAAACAUAAAAUAAAUAUUUAAAUGGAUAAAACAAAAUAGAUCAAAACUAAAUAGAUCAAAACAGUUAGUAGUGGAAAUUGGAACUAAUGAUAACAAAAAAAUCAGUACAUAAAAACACUACAUAAAUAGAUAAAAACACUACAUAAAAAUUACAUAAACACUACAUAAACACUACAUAACUUAAAUUCCAGUAAACAUUAAUUCCAGCAAACACCAUAAAUUCCAGUAAAUAUAUAACUUAAAAAAAAAUUUCAGCACACUAAACAUUUAAAACAUUCCAGCACACAUUCCAGCACACUAAAAAUUCCAGCAAACACCAUUUAAAACAUUUAAAACAUUAACACCAACACACUAAACCCUAAACCCUAACACAUACAUAAAUAACUAACCCUAAACCCUAACACAUACAUAAAUAACAAUACACUUAAAAUAAAAUUCAGUAAAAUAAAAAUUUCAGUAACUUAAUUCACUUAAUAAGAACACUUAAAAUAAAACAAUACACUUAAAAUAAAAUAAAAUUCAGUAACAAUUAUUAAAAAAUUCAGAACUUGCACAAUGUAUGUAAAAAAUUCAGUAACAAUUAUGUAAAUAAUGAUACAUAUGUAUGUGUUAAAAUAGUAACAAUAACAAAACCCCAAAACAAUAACAGUAACAAUAACAAAAUAGUAACAAUAACAAUAACAAUAACAAUAACAAUAAAAUGGUAAAUAAGGAUACAUAUUAACUUAAUAACAAAAUUACUAAUUAUAAAUUAAAUUUCAUAUAGAUCUAAUCAAAACCCCUAAAUAAAAAACCCUAAAUCAAAACCCCUAAAUCAAAACCCCAAAAUCAAACCCCCAAUAUCAAAAACCCCAAAAUCAAACCCCCAAAAUCAACCUAACAUCUAACCCCAAUAUAUAAACCAACAAAUACAUACAUACAUAGACAAUGUAGAAGAAUAGGAAAAGAUGAUAAAAAUUUAUAAAAUGGAGAAGAUGAGGAAGUAGAACAUGAAGUAGACAAUGUAGAAAUGGAGAACAUGAAGAGGAAGUAUAAAAUGGAGAUUAUUACCUUGGGGAGAAGUUACAAACGCCCUUGGGGAGAACUUUGAACACCUUUGGAGAAGUUUGGGAGAGUUUGGGAGAGUUUGGAGAGUUUGGGAGAGUGAGGAGUAGGAGGAAACCGUUGGGAGAAAUGAGAAAAGUCUGGAAAUUUUUUUCUUAUAUAAAAAAUUCCCGGCGGCCUGGCCGCCGGGAAAUACUUAAGUUUAGUUUGACUGAGUUUGACUGUACGGGGGACCACGGCGGCGCAAGUUGUAAAUUUAGGGUUUUCCAAAAAUUUCUGGCGGCCAGGCCGCUGGCUACUAAAAAAAACAAGCGGGAAAAAUUAUCCAGCGGCCAGGCCGCCGGGAAUUUUUCUCCCGACCGUUGUUGAAUUGGAGCUGGCGGCCAGGCCGCUGGAAUUUUUUACAAAAAAAUAUUCCGUCGGCCUGGCCGCCAGAAAUUUUCUCUCAUUUACGAGGGAA